UGGGGAAUUUUGCACAAUGGGGGAAACCCUGAUGCAGCGACGCCGCGUGAUUUAGAAGGCCUUCGGGUUGUAAAAAUCUUUUCUAUGGGAAGAAAAUGACAGUACCAUAGGAAUAAGGACCGGCUAAUUACGUGCCAGCAGCCGCGGUAAUACGUAAGGUCCGAGCGUUGUCCGGAAUCAUUGGGCGUAAAGGGUACGUAGGCGGGUAAGCAAGUUAGAAGUGAAAUCCUAUAGCUUAACUAUAGUAAGCUUUUAAAACUGCUCAUCUUGAGGUAUGGAAGGGAAAGUGGAAUUCCUAGUGUAGCGGUGAAAUGCGCAGAUAUUAGGAGGAAUACCGGUGGCGAAGGCGACUUUCUGGCCAUAACCUGACGCUGAGGUACGAAAGCGUGGGUAGCAAACAGG
rnacentral:rRNA from 1 species